AUCGCUUCUCGGCCUUUUGGCUAAGAUCAAGUGUAGUUUGCCAAUAUUUUAAUACUAUCUCUAUCAAUCAAAGUUUUGGUUAACUGAUACUUUCUAACUUCAAAUGGAGCUUCUGUAGCUUUUCCAAGUAGGAAAACACAA
rnacentral:snRNA from 1 species